rnacentral:rRNA from 1 species
GAUGAACGCUGGCGGCGUGCCUAAUACAUGCAAGUCGAGCGAACGGACGAGAAGCUUGCUUCUCUGUUGUUAGCGGCGGACGGGUGAGUAACACGUGGAUAACCUACCUAUAAGACUGGGAUAACUUCGGGAAACCGGAGCUAAUACCGGAUAAUAUUUUGAACCGCAUGGUUCAAAAGUGAAAGACGGUCUUGCUGUCACUUAUAGAUGGAUCCGCGCUGCAUUAGCUAGUUGGUAAGGUAACGGCUUACCAAGGCAACGAUGCAUAGCCGACCUGAGAGGGUGAUCGGCCACACUGGAACUGAGACACGGUCCAGACUCCUACGGGAGGCAGCAGUAGGGAAUCUUCCGCAAUGGGCGAAAGCCUGACGGAGCAACGCCGCGUGAGUGAUGAAGGUCUUCGGAUCGUAAAACUCUGUUAUUAGGGAAGAACAUAUGUGUAAGUAACUGUGCACAUCUUGACGGUACCUAAUCAGAAAGCCACGGCUAACUACGUGCCAGCAGCCGCGGUAAUACGUAGGUGGCAAGCGUUAUCCGGAAUUAUUGGGCGUAAAGCGCGCGUAGGCGGUUUUUUAAGUCUGAUGUGAAAGCCCACGGCUCAACCGUGGAGGGUCAUUGGAAACUGGAAAACUUGAGUGCAGAAGAGGAAAGUGGAAUUCCAUGUGUAGCGGUGAAAUGCGCAGAGAUAUGGAGGAACACCAGUGGCGAAGGCGACUUUCUGGUCUGUAACUGACGCUGAUGUGCGAAAGCGUGGGGAUCAAACAGGAUUAGAUACCCUGGUAGUCCACGCCGUAAACGAUGAGUGCUAAGUGUUAGGGGGUUUCCGCCCCUUAGUGCUGCAGCUAACGCAUUAAGCACUCCGCCUGGGGAGUACGACCGCAAGGUUGAAACUCAAAGGAAUUGACGGGGACCCGCACAAGCGGUGGAGCAUGUGGUUUAAUUCGAAGCAACGCGAAGAACCUUACCAAAUCUUGACAUCCUUUGACAACUCUAGAGAUAGAGCCUUCCCCUUCGGGGGACAAAGUGACAGGUGGUGCAUGGUUGUCGUCAGCUCGUGUCGUGAGAUGUUGGGUUAAGUCCCGCAACGAGCGCAACCCUUAAGCUUAGUUGCCAUCAUUAAGUUGGGCACUCUAAGUUGACUGCCGGUGACAAACCGGAGGAAGGUGGGGAUGACGUCAAAUCAUCAUGCCCCUUAUGAUUUGGGCUACACACGUGCUACAAUGGACAAUACAAAGGGCAGCGAAACCGCGAGGUCAAGCAAAUCCCAUAAAGUUGUUCUCAGUUCGGAUUGUAGUCUGCAACUCGACUACAUGAAGCUGGAAUCGCUAGUAAUCGUAGAUCAGCAUGCUACGGUGAAUACGUUCCCGGGUCU